ensembl:lncRNA MAGI2-AS1 MAGI2 antisense RNA 1
GGGAAGUGACAGCAGCAGACACAUCAUGCUGGCAGGGCACAUUUACUGUCAUAUUGGAACGGAGAGUUGAUGUCAUAUUACAAGCUGAGUAAACCUAGCAGCUCCUUCUCUGAUAUGGUUAAUCAAAAAGGAAUCAAGCCCCCAACUGCAGGGCUUCUGAAUUAAUGAUGAAUUGAAGGAGAAAAGAAGCAACAGCAACAGCAUAUUUGUAAAGCCAAGGCUUCAAAGUAACUCAGGACAGCUCAUUUAGAUAAGUCAUGAACCUAAAUGGCUAAAUUAAAGCAAGACUGUGAUUACCAACACAGCUGGGAUUAGGCAAGCUGUGGCACAAGAAUUAAGCCACAUGAAGGGGAAGAGCCACAGGUCAGAAGGUCCCCAGAAAAUGUCUAACAAGAGAAGCAAGUUAACCGGAAAUCAGCCAUGUGCCUUAACCAGAAGUCAGCUGUGACUUUUAGGCCUCUUCUGGAAGUGG